CACGUAGGGUGCGAGCGUUGUCCGGAAUUAUUGGGCGUAAAGGGCGCGUAGGCGGCUAGAUGUGUCAAAGGUGAAAUCCCUCGGCUCAACUGAGGAACUGCCUUUGAAACUGUCUGGCUUGAGGCCGGGAGAGGGUAGCGGAAUUCCCAGUGUAGCGGUGAAAUGCGUAGAUAUUGGGAGGAACACCAGUGGCGAAGGCGGCUACCUGGACCGGUUCUGACGCUGAGGCGCGAAAGCGUGGGUAGCAAACAGG
rnacentral:rRNA from 1 species